UUGUACCGUUACGUGAAGAUUUUCAUUUGCGCCCUCUUUUGGUUUCCUAUUUAAUCAUUCCCUCUUACUUCCUCAUUCAGACGUUCUUGAAAUUUGUUGUCACUGGGAACGCUUUUUCUUGUGCUUUUUUCUUCUCUGUAUCUUAGAUUAUAUGAUUUUGCCCUUCUGCUCUUUUCUGAUCUGUCUCUUCGACUAUAUGAUUUUAAUUCUGUUUCUUUUUCUUAUUUUCAGAUCCAGCAAAAUAUAAACAGGAAUUGAGGGAAGAAUUAAACUCUACAUUUUAAUUUUGUCUCUCAUUCUGCAAGAGGUUGCUAUUCGUAAAUUCACCACUCCUGAUCAAUCUUGAAGACCUAUAUAUUUGACAAAAUUGAAAUAAGCAAUAAUUACGGUAGCAAAUCCUAAAAGACAAUCAAUUCUGAUGGAUCUUGAAGGCUUAUUUAUUGGGCAAUGGGCUUCAUCUAAAUCUCCCGAUUAUUAGACUGCUUGAUUUUAGAUGAGGGAGGACUUAUUCAGUUUCCGUAUAAGACAUCUUCCAGUUCGCUCACUGAAUGAGUUGGUUUUCCACUUCCGAAUCACCCACCUAUUGUAGGAGUUCUUCCCCAACCUUGUUCUUCUGGAAACAGGCAAG